GGCGCUUAGCUCAGUUGGUUAGAGCGUGGUGCUGGCAACGCCAAGGUUGCAGGUUCGAUUCCAUUGGAGGGUUG